UCUGCUGAGUGGCUGGCAUUAUCCUCAGAACUUCUCUAUGUCUUCUCCCUAGAGCAAGCUGUGGGUUUUGCAUAGUAUCCCUGUUCUUGCCCCGAAGAACCUGAGGCCCGGAGAGUGAUGCUGAGGUGGGCAGACGGUGAGGCCGAUGCUCCUUCCUCAGGGCUGUAAUUAAAACAGGGGACUUAGGAGCUGGCAGAAUCCUUGGGAAUCAUUUUGUCUGACCUCCUUAUUGGAGACACCAUGGCCAGUGAUAGUUGAUAAUUUACCAAACCCCAAAUUCCUUAGUGGUGAAGUAGAAAAAAGAGAGUAGAUUUCUGGUUUCUAAUCCAGAUCUCUUUUCCUCUGUAUGCUGUAAAUAAGGUGCAAACAAACAAAAAACAUCAACCAGAAAAAUUUAAAAGCCAAAGAGAAAUCAUUUUGGAAUAUAGUAGAAUCACUUCUCUCCAUAACUGACUAUAAUGAAAGAACAGGUAGACUCCUGUUCAAAUGAAUACUGUUAGAACAUCUGGUCUUAUAAAAUGAGCCUAUUUACAUGUGCUGACAGAUGGCCCACAGCGAAAAUGCUUUGUUAGUCUGAUUACAACAAAUCCUAAUAAACCCGAAUCCUCUCUCAGGUGCCUUCCUCAGCCCCCAUUUGUGCGAGAGGCAAUCUCUAUUACAAGGACCUUGGCCCGCUGGAAGGAGGCUGACAGCUGCAGAGGCAGAGACUCAGUGAAAAGUGGAGAGCUCCAAAGUCCCAGGACCCAUCUUGGAACUCAGCCACCACGUUGUGAGGAAGCCCAAGCCACAUGGAGGGGCCGCUGCAGGUGCACCAGUCCAGAGUCUCAGCUGAGGCUUCAGAAGACAGCCAACAUCUACUGUGAUGAUGCCCAGAUCAUACCAGUCCCCAGAGGUCAAGUUAUCUCAACAUACAGGUCUUUCCAGAUGAUAACCCAGUAAUUUUGGAACAGAGGCAAUCCAGCUCCUAUGUUCUGCUUAGAUGCCUGACCCACAGAGUCCAUGAGCAUAAUGAAAUAUUUGUUUAUGUCACUAAGCUGUGGUAUAGUUUUUUACUCACUUUUCUUUAUGAGUUUGCACAGGGAGAGAGAAUUAAGGUACUCAGAUGCCAGACCCUGAAGAUAAGGUGCUUUGUUAUGAGAAGGAAUUCUCUUUCCAGACAUUUAUAAUUUAAGGUAUGUUGAUGUAUUUAGUGCCUGAAUGUCUUAGCGUGGUAUUUCUAUGUGUUUUAUACGGUUUGUCUUUCUCUCCUCCCCAGCACUACAACCAACAUAUGUACAAACAAACUCGUGUCACCAGAAAUUGUAAGUGACAUCUGCAAGGAGAGAGAUUGAGAGAGAGAGAGAGAGAGAAAAGAGGGAGACAGAGAGAAAAGAGAAAGAGAUACAGAGAGAAACAGAUGAAGAUGAACAGGGACAGGGAGAGAGAGGCAGAGAGAAAUAGAGACCGAGAGAGAUUCAUUUAUUCUGUAAACAUCCACAUCACUUUACUUAACCUCUUUUGGUACUCGGCCUUUCAAUUUUGUAAUACGACCAAUGAGGAAUUUCGGCAAGUCUCAUAUCCAGGAGACCUAGGAGCUUAUGAAGUCCUUGUCCAUCAGUGGCUGUGCAUUCACUGGUUCCUGGCAUGGUAUCUGGCCUUGAGUGUAGACAGUCAGCCUUGGAGAAUGUUUACUAAAUGCACAGUGAAGGGAGCAUGUGCGUCUCACCUUCCUGGCUACCUUAGUUCUCAUGAUAUCCUCAGAGGAGCUCUUUCUAAUAAUGGCUAUUUGUUAUUUCCAAGGGUGUGCUACAUUUUGCAUUUGUUUAACAUCCCGAAAUUGUUACAUAAUACGUUUAUUACAUUAUAAUCUCCUUCGUGUCUCUGGU